rnacentral:tRNA from 1 species
GGGGAUAUAGCUCAGCUGGUAGAGUGCUUGCCUAGCAUGCACAAGGCUCUGGGUUCAAUCCCUAGUCCCA